rfam:Oryza barthii chromosome 3, whole genome shotgun sequence.
GAUAAAUGUAGUUUUGCACUAUUCAUCUUCAACGUUUAACCGUUCGUUUUAUUUGAAAUGUUUUUAUAAUUAAUAUUUUUAUUAUCAUUAGAUGAUAAAAUAUGAAUAGUAUUUUAUGCGUAACUAAUUUUUUUUAAUUUUUUAUAAAUUUUUUAAAUAAGACAUACGGUUAAACAUUGGAAACGGAUAUCUACGACUCGCUUAUU